CCAGGAAUGGUAAGGUCUACUGGCCUGAUAGUGAUUUUUAUCUUGGAAGUAAAUGUAUAUGAUAGGACCAUAGCUUUUUCAAAUAAUAUUAAUUGGAGAAAAUUUUCUGAGGAAAAAUUUUAUUAGUGGCAUUAUAAUAAAUA